ensembl:rRNA 5S_rRNA 5S ribosomal RNA
GCUUACGGCCAUACCAGCCUGGGUACGCCCGAUCUCGUCUGAUCUCGGAAGCUAAGCAGGGUCGGGCCUGGUUAGUACUUGGAUGGGAGACCGCCUGGGAAUACCAGGUGCUGUAAGCA